UAUAUAAGCGUAUAGCGUUGCUGGUGAAUCAUAAACCUACAAAGAUAUAGUGCAAGCUUUAAUAAGCAUUAAGAGAUGCGACUAUCAUUUCUAUCAAUGUCUUUUGCCAUAAUUUUUGUUAUGGCAAUUAUGCACGCAGCUAAAGCGGAAGCAACGGCCAUCUCCGAUGCUGAUGCUAAUGGGCAGGUGCCAUUAUUAUUCGCCAAUUCUCGUCUUGGUAAAUAAAAUAUUAAACUGCAUUUUUCGUGGAAUGAAAUUUAAAUAGAACAACCAAGAAACGGAAACACUCGCAAUAAAAUGUGACAUUACAAAAAACAGAUAAAUGUUAUUAUAUAUUUUUUCAAACAAAAA